GAUGAAGAACGUAGCGAAAUGCGAUACUUGGUGUGAAUUGCAGAAUCCCGUGAACCAUCGAGUCUUUGAACGCAAGUUACGCCCGAAGCCAUUAGGCCGAGGGCACGCCUGCCUGGGCGUCACACGUCGUUGCCCCCCCAUCUACUCCUUCGGGAUUGCGGGGGGCGGAUGAUGGCCUCCCGUGCGCCUCGCCGCGCGGUUGGCAUAAAUGCCAAGUCCUCGGCGACGCACGCCACGACAAUCGGUGGUUGCGAAACCUCGGUUGCCCGUCGUGUGCGGUCGUCGCGCAUCGAGGGCUCGAAAAAAUUGCCGGGUUCCGGCUCGGCUUUCAACGCGACCCCAGGUCAGGCGGGGUUACCCGCUGAAUUUAAGCAUAUCAAUAAGCGGAGGA
rnacentral:misc_RNA from 1 species